AUUGAACGCUGGCGGCAUGCUUUACACAUGCAAGUCGAACGGUAACAGGUUAAGCUGACGAGUGGCGAACGGGUGAGUAAUGCAUCGGAACGUGCCCGAUCGUGGGGGAUAACGCAGCGAAAGCUGCGCUAAUACCGCAUACGAUCUGAGGAUGAAAGCGGGGGACCGUAAGGCCUCGCGCGAUCGGAGCGGCCGAUGUCAGAUUAGGUAGUUGGUGGGGUAAAGGCUCACCAAGCCGACGAUCUGUAGCUGGUCUGAGAGGACGACCAGCCACACUGGGACUGAGACACGGCCCAGACUCCUACGGGAGGCAGCAGUGGGGAAUUUUGGACAAUGGGCGCAAGCCUGAUUCAGCAAUGCCGCGUGCAGGAAGAAGGCCUUCGGGUUGUAAACUGCUUUUGUACGGAGCGAAAAGGCUUUCUCUAAUACAGGAGGCUGAUGACGGUACCGUAAGAAUAAGCACCGGCUAACUACGUGCCAGCAGCCGCCGUAA
rnacentral:rRNA from 1 species